GAAAUGCGAUAAGUAAUGUGAAUUGCAGAAUUCAGUGAAUCAUCGAAUCUUUGAACGCACAUUGCGCCCAUUAGUAUUCUAGUGGGCAUGCCUGUUCGAGCGUCAUUUAAACCCUCAAGCCUUGCUUGGUGUUGGGGAUCAGCCUUUAUCGGCUGGCCCUGAAAAAUAGUGGCGGUCUCGCUGUAGCUUCCUCUGCGUAGUAGCACAACCUCGCUCUGGAAAGCAGCGCGGCCUAGCCUUUAAACCCCCUAUUUUAUAAGGUUGACCUCGGAUCAGGUAGGAAUACCCGCUGAACUUAA
rnacentral:misc_RNA from 1 species